rnacentral:rRNA from 1 species
AUUGAACGCUGGCGGCAUGCCUUACACAUGCAAGUCGAACGGCAGCGGGGGAGAAGCUUGCUUUUCCUGCCGGCGAGUGGCGAACGGGUGAGUAAUACAUCGGAACGUGCCCUGUAGUGGGGGAUAACUAGUCGAAAGAUUAGCUAAUACCGCAUACGACCUGAGGGUGAAAGUGGGGGACCGCAAGGCCUCAUGCUAUAGGAGCGGCCGAUGUCUGAUUAGCUAGUUGGUGGGGUAAAGGCCUACCAAGGCGACGAUCAGUAGCUGGUCUGAGGGGCCGAUCAGCCACACUGGGACUGAGAAACGGCCCAGACUCCUACGGGAGGCAGCAGGGGGGGAUUUUGGACAAUGGGCGAAAGCCUGAUCCAGCAAUGCCGCGUGUGUGAAGAAGGCCUUCGGGUUGUAAAGCACUUUUGUCCGGAAAGAAAUGGCUCUGGUUAAUACCUGGGGUCGAUGACGGUACCGGAAGAAUAAGGACCGGCUAACUACGUGCCAGCCGCCGCAGUAA